ncrna:Paenibacillus massiliensis 2301065 = DSM 16942 L31-Firmicutes ribosomal protein leader
CUCUGGGUGGACUAAGAAACUCAGGGCGGAAAGAG